AAAAGAGAUUUUUCAAGAUCUUUCCGUUAAAGGCUAUCGUCUAAAUGUGAGGACAUACAAUAUUAUGAUCAAUGGGCUCUGCAAAGAGGGCUUGUUUGAAGAAGCAUUGGCACUCUUGUCAAAAAUGGAAGGCACUGGUUGCUUACCAAAUGCUGUGACUUUUGAAACUGUUAUUCGUGCUUUGUUUGAAAAAGAUGAGAAUGACAUGGCAGAGAAACUACUUCGGAAAAUGGUUGCUAGACAGCUAGAGGCUUAUUGAAUUGAUAAAAGAAAGGAAGAUACUGUUGAGAUGGCGCACGAUACUGCCUGAGGAAUAAACCAUUUGCACAACUGCACUCCAGUGAUUGUACACCAUGAUUUGAAGUCACUAAAUCUUCUUGUUGAUAAAAAUUGGGUUGUGAAGGUGUCAACUAAUUGUCAUGAUUGAAUUUUCUUGAUAGCAUGCUGAUAGCUACCUGUAGAUAUGGUUUAAUUGUUUUUUUUUUUCACCCUUUCUUUUUUCUUUCGUAUAGUUAUGUGAUUUUGGCUUAUCAAGAAUGAAGCACAGUACAUUCCUUUCUUCCAGAUCAACUGCAGGAACAGUCAGCUGUCAUAAUCCUCAUUUCUAAGCUCAAAUACUGUGUCAUACCCUCUGCCUUAUGAAUUAUUCAUUCUUUCAUGUUCUUGUUCUAUAUUUUGCUGCAUAUUUUUUAUGUUUGUUGUGCUUUAUAUUCUUCUGAAGAUAUACAAACAUACACAAAUGGAGGCAUUUGCUAUUAUCUUUUAACAAAAAAUUUGGAAAACCAGGAGCUUCUUGCCGUUUAAAAAUUCAUUAUGUUUGGCAUGUUAUAUUAAUCCUUUUGUGAUGAUGAAUACCUAAAUAGGCUAACGCAAGUGGUAAUUAUUUGAUUUGUUU